CGGCGGACGGGUGAGUAACACGUGGAUAACCUACCUAUAAGACUGGGAUAACUUCGGGAAACCGGAGCUAAUACCGGACAAUAUAUUGAACCGCAUGGUUCAAUAGUGAAAGACGGUUUUGCUGUCACUUAUAGAUGGAUCCGCGUCGCAUUAGCUAGUUGGUAAGGUAACGGCUUACCAAGGCAACGAUGCGUAGCCGACCUGAGAGGGUGAUCGGCCACACUGGAACUGAGACACGGUCCAG
rnacentral:rRNA from 1 species